rnacentral:rRNA from 1 species
AUUGAACGCUGGCGGCAGGCCUAACACAUGCAAGUCGAGCGGAUGAAGGGAGCUUGCUCCUGGAUUCAGCGGCGGACGGGUGAGUAAUGCCUAGGAAUUUGCCUGGUAGUGGGGGAUAACGUCCGGAAACGGGCGCUAAUACCGCAUACGUCCUGCGGGAGAAAGUGGGGGGUCUUCGGACCUCACGCUCUCAGAUGAGCCUAGGUCGGAUUAGCUAGUUGGUGGGGUAAAGGCCUACCAAGGCGACGAUCCGUAACUGGUCUGAGAGGAUGAUCAGUCACACUGGAACUGAGACACGGUCCAGACUCCUACGGGAGGCAGCAGUGGGGAAUAUUGGACGAUGGGCGAAAGCCUGAUCCAGCCAUGCCGCGUGUGUGAAGAAGGUCUUCGGAUUGUAAAGCACUUUAAGUUGGGAGGAAGGGCAGUAAGUUAAUACCUUGCUGUUUUGACGUUACCAACAGAAUAAGCACCGGCUAACUUCGUG